GCAGUGGAACAAGCUGUUUCAUUUCACAGCUUGGCCAAGUCAUUUAUAGCCCAUAAAAAAUUACUUAACACAUGGUGGCAUAUGUAACUCUAUAAAUCUUUCCCUGAGAAGGAGGAGGAAGAUGGCAUUUGUAUACACAAAUAUAUCCAUACACAUACUCAGGCUAACGCAAUAUGUUAGCACUCUUUUGUGCUAUAAACCUAGUAGGCACACUAUCAUGGUAACUGAAGAUGAAAAUUUUUGGUAAGAACCUGCCUAUUCAUUCCUCACAUUAUGUUUUGCAGAUCCCCCCUCAGAUUUAUACUGCAGUUCUGAGGCUCUUCAGUGAAAUAUGCUUAAAGUCUUGCUCAUACCUCCCUGGAACUACACACUGGUGAGCACAGUCGUGUGUGCUGCACAGCUUGGGUACCAGAGCAGAUGCUUCUGCACUGACUGUUCAUGUGGAAGACAGAAUAUGGCAGCUGACACAUUUAUCUCCUUUCUUUUGUGUGACUCAGGCACAAAGGGGUUUUCUCACCAAACUGGUCACAGGAUGGCAGCAUGAAAACCAGGAAAACCAACUGGAUUAUACUGGCAAAUAUCUCAGGAAGGCAGAACUAAUUGCUCGAAUUAUUCCCGGAGAACCAGAACUGUUUGGGUUAGAAGGGACCUAAAAGAUCACUUACUUUCAACCCUCCUGCCAUGGGCAGGGACACCUUCCACUAGACCAGAUUUCUGCAAGAAAAGUUUCUCAUCUCCAGUAAGCUCCCCAUUUUCAGCCUGGCCAACCAGGACAUCAAAGUCUAAAAUUGAGACCAUUUGUCUCUGAACAUCCUCAGAAUGACAAAUAUUAUAGUUCUGAUAUUUCAACCACUAGAGUAAAAAAAAAUCAAAAUGCUAAAUUUUUAAAGUGCGAAUAUAUAUCAGCCUGAUUCAAGCAACGUCUCAAGCCCUUAGUCUGGUAUCAGUCACACCACAGUGAGUCCUUUGGCUUAAAAAAGAGUUAUUCUAGCUAGUGAAAGGAGAAUUAAUUUUAUUCUGAAUUUUAAUUACUUUGAAGUAUGUGGCAAUGCUUAGUUGAGCCUGUGCUGCCCAUUUGUUUCAUGACUUAUUUUACUCAAGAGA